rnacentral:tRNA from 1 species
GGGGCAUUAGCUCAUCUGGUAGAGCGCUUGCAUGGCAUGCAAGAGGUGGUCGGUUCGAUCCCGACAUGCUCCACCA